GUGGGGAAUAUUGGACAAUGGGGGCAACCCUGAUCUAGCCAUGCCGCGUGAGUGAUGAAGGCCUUAGGGUCGUAAAGCUCUUUCGCUGGGGAAGAUAAUGACGGUACCCAGUAAAGAAACCCCGGCUAACUCCGUGCCAGCAGCCGCGGUAAUACGGAGGGGGUUAGCGUUGUUCGGAAUUACUGGGCGUAAAGCGCGCGUAGGCGGAUUGGAAAGUUGGGGGUGAAAUCCCGGGGCUCAACCCUGGAAUGGCCUUCAAAACUCCCAGUCUUGAGGUCGAGAGAGGUGAGUGGAAUUCCGAGUGUAGAGGUGAAAUUCGUAGAUAUUCGGAGGAACACCAGUGGCGAAGGCGGCUCACUGGCUCGAUACUGACGCUGAGGUGCGAAAGCGUGGGGAGCAAACAGGAUUAGAAACCCGUGUAGUCC
rnacentral:rRNA from 1 species